rnacentral:misc_RNA from 1 species
CAACCCUCACGCCUAGCGUGGUAUUGGACUCGCCCUGUAGGGCCUGUCUCAAAGUCAGUGGCGGCACCGUUUGACCCCUAAGCGUAGUAAUACUCGUCGCUUCUGGUGUCCGGCGGAGGCCUGCCAGCAACCCCCAAUUUUUACAA